rnacentral:rRNA from 1 species
UACGUAGGGUGCAAGGCGUUGUCCGGAAUUAUUGGGCGUAAAGAGCUCGUAGGCGGUCUGUCGCGUCGGCUGUGAAAACCCGGAGCUCAACUCCGGGCCUGCAGUCGAUACGGGCAGACUGGAGUUCGGCAGGGGAGACUGGAAUUCCUGGUGUAGCGGUGAAAUGCGCAGAUAUCAGGAGGAACACCGGUGGCGAAGGCGGGUCUCUGGGCCGAUACUGACGCUGAGGAGCGAAAGCGUGGGGAGCGAACAGG